rnacentral:rRNA from 1 species
GGGCUCACACAAGCGGUGGAGCAUGUGGCUUAAUUCGAGGCAACGCGAAGAACCUUAUCCUGGGUUUGACAUGUACGGAUGGCUCGCCUGAAAGGGAUGAGUCUGCCUUCGGGUGAAACGUACACAGGUGCUGCAUGGCUGUCGUCAGCUCGUGUCGUGAGAUGUUCGGUUAAGUCCGGCAACGAGCGCAACCCACAUCCCUAGUUGCCAGCAGUUCGGCUGGGCACUCUAUGGAAACUGCCCGUGAUAAGCGGGAGGAAGGUGUGGAUGACGUCAAGUCCUCAUGGCCCUUACGGGUUGGGCUACACACGUGCUACAAUGGUGGUGACAAUGGGUUAAUCCCAAAAAGCCAUCUCAGUUCGGAUUGGGGUCUGCAACUCGACCCCAUGAAGUCGGAAUCGCUAGUAA